rnacentral:lncRNA from 1 species
GUAGCAACAAACAAAACCAGAUGCUCCGCAGGGCGUAGCUUUAUACGACCGCAGAGGUUGAACCCUGAACGGUUGGGGCAAGUAUGGACACAACAUUCAAGCUGCAUUCAGCUCUAAAUUUGGAUUGUGAUUAAAUAGUUGACACAGCAUAGGUUUCUGACACAGAAUGAAUGUGUUCUAAUGAACUUAAAAUUUUUGUUUUCUCUUAGAGCAAUUCACUAUGCUGUUGAAUAUUAAUCCUCUCAAAAAAAUGUUUGAAGAAAUUUUCUUUUUUAUUUAUGAAAUUUCAAAUGAGAAAAAU